rnacentral:lncRNA from 1 species
UGAUAAAGGCAUGACAUUAUACAAAAAUUGAUAAAUGACAGAAAAUCAGCCAACAAAAAUGAAAGCGUGGCAAAUAAAUGAAAGUGUCAACACCGAAAGUGAAAUUCAAAUGGGAUAUUGAUGGAUUUAUAGAAGAAAUAGUUGCGAGAACUACCAUCCAACUACCAUCCAAGAGAUUUCAUAUGUGCAGUCAGGGGAACUUAUAGAAGACAUAUUUACAACUUAAAUGAAGAAGUCGAUUGCAAGGAAAAGAUGAAAGUUUUCCCAGAAGAUGUGAUGCUGAGAAAAAAAAUUACAUUGAAGAAACUCUUCAAGAGGUUUAAAGACAAUGAACGCACACACAAUAAAAUGUUGGACAAAUAAUCAAAUUUAUAAAGAAG